GACGAACGCUGGCGGCGUGCUUAACACAUGCAAGUUGAACGAAGUGGCGAACGGGUGUGUAAUACGUGGGUAACCUGCCCUCCUUUUUGGGAUAAGCUUUGGAAACGGGGUCUAAUACCGAAUAAAGGGGGAUGGGCUCGCGGCCUAUCAGCUUGUUGGUGGGGUGAUGGCCUACCAAGGCGGUGACGGGUAGCCGGCCAGAGAGGGUGGCGGGAGAGGUUGAGACGGGGAAGAGGGCCAGACGACUACGAGGGGCGGCGGUGGGGGAUAUUGCGCAGUGCGGGAAAGGCGGAGGCGGGGACGGUGGGUGGGGAAUGAAGGCUUUCGGGUUGUAAGCCUCUUCGGCUGUCGAUGGGGUAGAUGGAGAAGAAGCGCCGGCUGACUACGUGCCAGCAGCCGCGGUAAUAC
rnacentral:rRNA from 1 species